CAUUAGCAUGUGCACAACCUGGGCAGCAGACCUGCUGGAAAGCUGGAAUCUGGAAUGCUUGUAGGAUGGCUGAGCGCUGGACCUUGUCGGAAGAUCUUUCUUACAAACUGGGAUCCAGUGGAUGUGCCCCUGCAGACCUAAUCCAACUCUGUUUUAGUUAUUAGACCAGACACAGGAUUCAUAGGGCACUUCAAAGCCUGGGUCUUCUGUAUUUCCAGGAAUCCUCCAGCCACCUUCUCCUUCCAGGGGUCUCUUCCUGACCAACUUUCUGCUGUGCUCUGUAGGUUGGCAUCACUAGCUACAAUUUGCUGUAAUUGCAUUUGAAAGUAGACCCUUGAUAAGAUUUGGAAACAGAGACUGGCUCAAUUAUACAGCUAUGUGAUCUUACUUGCUUUGGUUUCGCAGUCUGCCUCUUGUCCAGCUUGUUGUUUGUUACACUCCCUUGUGCACUGGUUUAAAUCAAAUGAGCUCUUCUGUGCUGUUUGUAUAGCUUGGGAUAUAGGGACAGCCCAGAAAAAAAGUUCAGGGCCUCAGAAAAAGUACAAAUUUGCUUGGAGAAAGCCAGGGGGGAGAAGAGACUUGGGACUUGGGAAGAGAGCGGACUGGAGCAGAGCAGAUGUAGCCAGGACUUGAUAUACCUCACCAACUGUUUCAUUGGGUUGCAAGGAAAAACCCAAAUGUUUCUGAGCAGGAAUGUGGCCAUCAGCUACUCACCAACAUAGAGGUUAUUCAAAGACUACUAUAUUUUUGGUAUGCCUAGAAAUGUUUAGUUAUUAGAUGAUAGUUUCUUUGCUUGUGUUCAAGUAGUAUUCUGGAGUAACAGCGUGUCUUUUUUUUUCACUGAGCACCUGAAUACUAAAUACAUGAUGUAGACAGUCGAGAUGCUCAAGCAGCCUUGCCGUUCAUAUACUGUUGAUGCACUUUCUGAUUUUUGUAACUUGUUCUCAUCUGACACAGUGAUUUCCUCAGCAGCAGCAAAGCAGCUAUUCUGGUUGCCAGGCUGACCAAUGCAAGAGAUCUCUGAAGCUCAGUAGCAGGAGCCAAAACAGUUGGCAGUUUCAUAGCUAACUGAAUGUUUUUUCAGUAUAGCCUGCAGGUCAGCCAUUACCUGCUAGUAAAUAGGUAAUAAAUAACCACUAACAGUGUCAAGCUCUCUCCUGCUUAUUCUCUCAUACUGUAUUCUGAGUCUGUUUGUGCCACAGGAAAGGUUGGAAAGGCACAAGCCACAGCCAGCUCUCCCUGCUGACGCUUGUACAAGUCUGCAUGGAAUCGGUGCCUCGGGCUGUCCCCAGUAUUUCGGGACCGUAGAUAUACCUGAGAAAUAAUGUGGUGAAAUUAAACCAGCUUGUAGUUGGCUAAAGAGGUACCAAAGUUGGAAGACCAUGUGGACUUGCAGGUGUGUACCUCUCCAACUUUAAUGCAUUGCUGUGGAUGAGUUGCAGGUGCCUGCAUGGCAGUGCAGUGCUGCAGGACAAGGCUUACUUCAGUUCAAAGACCGACUGGCAAAGGGUGAGAGCUGCCAACGGCACAUUUUGCAAACACCCCCUGGCUCUGGAGCUUGUCCCCACCAGCCCCAUUGCUGUGAAACAGCCCAAAUAUUACUGACCUUUCCAGGCAUGAUGUAAAAAACUAUCUGUAUGCAACAGCUUUGGAGGAGGCGUGAUGGCAUGGGGUUUGGAGCUGGGUGGAAGGGGCUGUAUUCUGCUGCUUGUUCACUGGCUGGUCAGAUUAAUUUGUUUUGUUGUGCAGGAGGAUCAUUAAGUCACCAGGUGUUUAUUCCAAUUGGACUGCAAAUCCAGCUAAUUGCCAGGUCACCUAGAUGUUCUGAAUAAUGUCUCCUGAAAACAAAAACUUAAUCUAAAUGUUCAAAACAACAUGUAGCAUCUUGCAAAUCAACCUUGGAAACCACAAAGUGGAACAAGAAUUUAGGACAGGCUGUGGUUGUGGACUCAGCAGCACAUCCUGAACCAGAGCAUUGGCCCUCAGGUGAGACUUGUUUCAGGGCUGUAUCCAUAGAGGCUGCUUACGUUUGGUAUUCUCAUCUCUGCACAGGUACACGGUAGCCUGAGAUCAGGGAACCCUCCUGCUCUUCCUCUGCUUCCCAAAAGGGAGAGAAGCAGAGCCAGGAGCAGCUGAAGUGUUGGGGUCACUCCUCAGGUCCUGCUGUACAUCCAGUGUUAGCACAAGGCUGGUGCAACCCAGCAGAAGUAAAAAUCAUUUUAAGGAACCACGCCAGCAUUUUACGAAGUUUCAAACACAUGAAAAGUCUGAAGGUAUCCCUAGAACUGUAUUGCAGCUUGCAGGUAUGGCUUUGAUUUUCCUUUUGGCAGGCUUAUGCCAUUCACUCUUUCAUUGCCCUUCCAAGAAACGCUGCUGGGUGCCUGAAGAGCAGGACGCUUCUUACACUUGGCAGGGGAAGAUAACAGUAAUGCUACAGUUUGCGCUUUGAAAGAUUAAAAGCGACAUUUAUUCCUUACAGUACUUUCAAACUUUCUCAAGUUAAUUUAAAAUCCAUUUUAGAGAAUGUGUAGCUACUAAUACUGGAUUUUUAGUUUGGUUUGUACUUUUUAAUAAAUUUUGCACACUCUGUACCUGAAUAAGAGGUGGAUUAAAGUCAGCCCAGUUAUUUAAAGUGCAUUAACUGCUUUGAGCAGUCCUUUCCCUCCAUUGGAAGGAACACCCUGUGUCUCUGAGACUGGUCUCUUUGUGAUACCUCUGUAAAGGUUCUUGCAAGAAAUGACCAUACUUUAAAAGCAAAUUUCUAUUUUUUGGAAACAUUUUGCUUCUCCUUCCCCUUUUUGCUGGUAACCUACCUCCUUGCUAGUUGAGUAGACAACAAGUGUUCCUUCCCCACCUCAUGGGGCAGCUGAUAAAUUAUUCAUAUGACUAAUGAGGAUUUUGAAUUUUCAUGCAAACUGUGAUGGCAUUGUUAAAGGCUUGCAUCACUUCGGCAACGUUUCUCCUGCACCUGCGUGCUUCAGGCAAUCAGGUGUUUAAAAUUACCCAUGCACAGAGCUUUUCCCCUUCUCCUGCAACCGCUUUGCUAAGCAAGGGAGUCCUGUGGCUAUUUUGUCUAUGUGAGGGUUUUUUUCUGUCCUAAUUACCGUGAGGGGAAAAGGGAAUCUGAGAGGGCUGUGUUAAUUAGCAAAAGGGAUCACAUACCUUGCCUUAUAUUAAUUUUGAAAUGACAAGACACAGGUGCAGUUUUAGUGGCAUUUGAAUGUGUGUUAGCAUUUAAGGUCCUUUCAUUUAUUGUUUUCCAUCCUAUGGAUUGUUCUUACUUUAGUUGGAGUGUAGCGGGAGGAAAAAAAAAAAUCUCACGAAGCUCCCAUUGAAGUGAAGAGCUACAUGAUGUGAAAGGGCUGAUUAUGUUUAUAUUACAUGUUCUGUGAAAAAAAACAAGCCCCCCAGCUAGUAGGGGAAGAAAGGUCACUGGAACUGAAGAAACAACUGACUCAGUGUCGUAAUACUGAAGGCAGUGAGCCUUUUGGAGAUGAGAGGGAUUUUCUGAUCUGGUUCAGUAGAAGGCAUGCGACUAUGAAAAUGAGCUUUUCCUGUUAUGUUGGAAAAUAAAGCAGCGAAUCAGGAGGACUAGGGUUUGAAAGGCAAAAAUUACAUUUAAUUGUCUUUUUACCUUCAAAUGCUCCACAGUUGAUUGGCGGUGCUGUAUCAUUCUUCCAGAUCAUCAUCCACAGCAAUAAAGGAAAUCCGUCUUGCAUGCGGCAGCCAGACCUCUGUGACCGUAGAGUGUUGCCAUCACGAGCCUACCUGAUGGCUUUGGGUCUUGAGGUUCUCCUAUCUCCUUUUGUACCUGCUGCACAUGAACUUUUGAAUGUGAAGGAGAUAGUAGAAGACCUGCUGUCCAAAAAGCUAUGUACAGGGAAUUUGUUGCGUAUAUGUUGCACUUUGAAUACAGACCUGAGCCUGUAUUUGAGACAAAACUCAUCUUCAGUCCACACUUUGUGGAGCUGAGUUCACAGGGGCUUUUUCUGAAUGUGAAAAUUAGAGCGUGUGCCACUGGUCCAUACCCUGGAAGCAUCCUCGAUGGGUUGGGCCACGUCACCUUCCCAGGACACUUUCGUCUGCCCUGCUUGCCCUGACAGGUAUGUCUCAAGUACAAAAUCCUUCCCACUUACCAGUCACCACAAUGGAAAUUAUGACCUGUGGGCAGCAUGCAGCAGGGAUGCUUACAUGUCAGUGUGGAUUUCUACAGCUAAGGUAUAGAUGAGUUGAAUUUGGUUAUGAACAGCAAAAAAUGAUCUUAAACUUAAGAUGUUCCCCGUCAUGGGGUUGCUGUGGACAUAGUCUUUGGACAUGGAUAAGUACACGGGAAUGCAUGUGUGGUGGUGGCCAGUCUUUCUCGUAGGUAGUUUUAGUGAAGGCCGUGAUAGCUCCUGUGGGGCUGCCAGUGGUUUAGAAAUGUGCUGAGGAAUCUAAAUCUUCCUACAGACUGCCAUGGGAUUUUAAAGUAUGAGCUCUGUAAAUCUUCACAGAUGAUUGGUCAGUUGAAACACUUAUACUCAAGAGCUUUGGUGCAUAUGCUGGUCAUUCAGUCCUUCUUGGACAAUAGUUUUGCUCAGAAAGAAGAAAAAUUGAGUAACUCCAGCUACUUCACACCAUGGCAGUAGGCACAGAGUGUGCUUAGUGUUGUGCUUACAGCAAAAGUGGGCAUUUUGAAAUAGCAGAUCACUGUGGAAGUUGAUCAGAAGUGCAGCACAGGAUUGUUUUUAGUGGCUUCUGGGGGAAUAUUAAGAUUUAUUUCUGUGAAGACUUACUCAGCAUGUUGCACAAACUCCUCUUAACGUGCUAAUAAGUCAAUGUGUUACUGAAUGCUUAGCCAUUAUAAUUACAGCCACGUGUUGUCCUUUUUACAAAUAGGUCUGACUUAAUUGCAUCAUUUUUCAGGAGGAUUUAUGUGGUCCUGUUUAAUCUAAAAUUAGUACAUGCACAAAUGAAGUGCAAACUAUUUUCCAUCACUGAACUGUGAAAUGUUCUCCAGAAUAGAGAGAUACCAACAUGUUUCUAAAAAGAUCCAAUAAGCAAUCAGGCAACUUUGGGAUUUGUGUCUGUGUCUGCACCUCUACAAUUUCGCUAAAAGUAAGAAAAAAUAUACUGAAAUAACAUUAACUGAAAAAUGAACAAGAAAGUCAGUUAAAUGAUCUAAAUCAAGCAGUCUUUUUUGAUUAUCACCGGUAAAACAAAGCAUGGGGGAAAUCAUAAAUCUAUCUUGAUAUUGCUAGCUUUCAGCAUUUGUUAAAAUACAGUAAGAGCUAAUGCAUUUUAUAUAUUACAUCGAUCUAUCACAUGUAAAUAUAUCACAUUUAAAAGAUACUCUGAAGGCCAAGAUUUUGUUGGCCUAAAUUCUAAGUGAGCAUGACUAAUAUUCCAUAGUACCUAUGUAGCUCUGAGGGCCUAAGGAUACGUAUAGGAGAUAGUAGGCAUAAGAGUUUGGGUUUCCUGAAAAUAGAUCAAAUAUUGCAAUUGCAAUACCUACAUUUUAAUUUGAAGUUUGGAAUAUGUGUGUUUUCCAAGAGUGUUGGAACCUGGAUGUUAAAAUAUAAAAGAACGACCAAAUCCCAACCAGACUGAAAAGCCUAAUGGUGGAACCAGAUGAAAAACAUUUUUGAAUUUCUAUCUAACAGGGAAAAAAUAUUUUUACUUCCGUAGGGUGGAGAUCUUGCCGUCCAGAAUGGAGAUUUAUUUACUGCUGUGAGGAAGUCUGCCGAUUUUCAGUGGGUAAAUCAGAAAGCCGAGCAAGGUCUGAAUGUUACUUAAGCACUAAUAUAAACAUGGGAGCUUUUCUGUAAUUUUUUUUUUUUGCUCUUGUCAUCUUGGUCAAAAUAUGUGUGGCUGGAAUGGAGAUAAAUGCAGCUUUUGAGAGCUACUCAGUUUUGUGUGAUUAUAUGAUUUCAGUAGAAAGUAGGAGAAAGGCUAUAUUACUAAAAAUACAUGAAUAUUGAAAACAGCCCUUGGUUUAAAUUAGAUGUCCCUAAUUUUUAUGAUUUGAAAGUAUUUCUCUUUGUAAUGGGCCAAGAUUUCAAAGGCUUACUUAAAGCAGGGCACCUACUGACCUGUACAGGUUAAUUUUAGCCAUGAGAAGUGGUCGUCACUGUGGCUGUGAAUGGGUUACCAGACAGUAGCUUGCAGGUCACUGCCAUUUCUCUCUGGUUCAGCACAUCUCCACAGUAUUUGACACUCUAGAACCUUCAGGCUGUGUUUGGUAGCGUGUUCUGAACAGAAGCUUCAGCCAAGCUGUCUCUCCCAUAGUGCUGAUCGUCAGUGAGCAGAGUGAUCCGUGGUGGUCCUUACUGUCUAUCCAUUCUUGUGUUUGGCUUAAAGUGGUGUUUAUGGUCUUCUAAAGGUGGAAGAUCUGGUCAAUCUGAACUAAUGGUUCCUGACAGCUCUUUAAUCUGAAUCCUUUGAUAUGACAGCAGAGGUGUGCCCAAAAUAGGGCCCAUGGUUUCUCCAGUCGUUCGUGAUUGUAGUGGUGUUUGAACCAGGUUACCAACCUUGAACAUCUCUCUGCCACCUUGUGCACAUUCACAACUUCUGCUUUUCCUAAGAAAAUCUAUUUUGUAAAUUAAAGGCAAGUGCCCAGGCUCAGGAUUUUGCUACCAUUUGUAAAUCAGGAGCUGAGCAUUUAACUGGUACUUCUCACAGAGACUUUUCCAAAUGUACUUGUAUGAAAGCACUUAAGUACCAUUAGCUUCCCUUGACAAGAGCAAAGUGUGAUGCAGGAGUAGGAUGGGGGCAAUCGUAGUUGUGCUUGGGAAAAUCACACGUGGAACAGGAGGCAUUGAUGGAUUUUAGAGAAUGCUUUCCUAAGAGGUGCAAUAUUCUCUGUGGAUGUGGCACCACUCUCAGUUCAUCAGACCUGAUGUAAAGUCCUUUCUGGUGCAAAGGACACCUGGGCCACUUUGGCCUAUUGUGCAGGACAUACAAAUCUUGCAGAGAGCAGAAAACUGUCUGUGGAGCAUGGAGCUUGGGUCUUCCAAAAUAAUGGUCUGCUAAACAGAAGUGAGGGAAGAAGGGUGCUCUGCCAUCUACUAUGUAAGUUAAUAAUUUAUGAGGUUCUGUGCUUUUUGGCUACUGCCACAACUGAAUAAGCAUUUUUGGUGCUGUGUGUCUGGUUUUCAACUGCUUAUCACUAUUCUGAUUUUGUUGCAGCGUACUGUUUGUCUGUAGCGUGUUCCUGUCCACGCAGAGUGACCUCAGCCAGUCUGCAAGUCAGGGUAGCGAUCUCCAUCUGUUGAGCACUUGUCAGAUGAGCUACUGACCUGUGCUGAUCUAACACCCUGUAACACCUGGGAGCUGCUCAGCUGUGGCCACUGGACCACUGAGUGACAUGGAGCAAGGUGCAGCUGCAACAGCUUGGAAUAAGCUAGUUUUCUCAGGUUGGAUAUUCUGAUAUUUCUGUUGCAUCUUGAACACGUAGAAGCAGGAAAACUUGUUUCGGGGGCUAGAGGCAUCAGCACAGAGAGAGGAUGGAUGGUGUAUGUUAUUGAAACCAAACUACAGUUCGAUGUUCCCAAACAGAGCAUUUCCUGUGAGAAGAAGGGAAGACAUCAGUUAAAUUGUCACAAAUAAACCCUGAACUGUUGUGAAACAGCAUCUGAUUUCCUAGAUUAAUCUGAAAGGUUUACUGAACUGGAGACUAUUGUAGAAAUACUUGUUCCGCACAUACAGCUGGAGUCAAGUGUUACCCACAUUGGACAAAUAUCUGUGGAAGUCUGUGAAUUGCUUGACACACCUGACAGAGCAGACAGAAGUAUCUCGGCCUUCAUUUACCAUGGAGUUGAGCAAGGUACAGCCUGCCUGCCUGGAUUUUGUCUUUGGAGACAUUGCUUUACUGCUUCAGGUCGAAUAGUGGCAGAGAAGGUAAAUUUGCCUUAAUAUCUGCAAAAUGCAAGAGAAGGAAAGGUGACUGAUUGAAAAACAACCAGUAUGUGUUUGGAAUAAGCUUAUUUUUGGAUUUCAAACCAUUUGUUAUAGAAAUACUGAGUGGAUGUUUCACAAGGGUUUAUCUUAUUUUGCAUUUCAUCUGGUGGUGUUUCACAUUUUACAGGUUCCUUUAUAGAACAGUGGUAAAUCCUUACAUAAAAAAAGUCUUCUGUAAGCCAUCCAAGUAGUUGUACUCACAUGAGAAUUGUUUAAAAGCAACAUUUUCUAAGAUUGUUUACAACCUGAAGAUAUUAGAGAAAUCUGUACGAGGAAGAAUAACAGUGAAAGUAAAGGUCAGAACUUUUUUUACCCUUUCUAGGUUUCUUAGGGUGAUGUUAAUUCUUUCUUCAAUAACACAUGGCACAGAUUCAUGGGAUCAGCAGAGCUCAAAUGUCAUCUCAAAAUGAACACUUCAAAAUAUUAUCGGAGUGGGAUUUGUUUAUCUCAUGUGCAUCACUGUGGAUGUCUGCAUUGGUAUAGUGGCUGAAAUUCCUCAAAUCAAGUCUUCACUAAGGACUCCGUGAUGCAUAUCUUCCUUGCAAAGGGCAGAGAAACAGUGACAGGCGGAAAAUACAGUCUUGUGAGGCAGUAUUUUCUAAGAGAUACUUUUAUUUCAGGAUAAAAUAUUUUGGCUUAAAAUAUUACCUCCCCCCCCGGAAAAUUACUUGUACUGAUACUGAUAAGGUUUCCCAGAAUCCCUAAGCAUGUAUCUGAAGAUACACAUCCACAGACUUUCUAAGACUCUCUGUAGGACACUGAUGCACAAACUUAUUUUCAUACUUCAGUUUCUAUUUAGACAUAUAUUGCCUCUCUUCCCCCUUCUGUUACGAAGGUUUAUCCAGAACUGCUAAUUGUCUAAACAAGAUGUUCAUAUGAGAGUGGUCCAUUGCAAGAUACUUUAUCAGUAGAUGAGAUAUCACUUCUUUAAAUGUGAAAUAGAGACUUUUGUGAAUUGUUUCCUGUAGUUAGCCAGACUAAACUACGUUGCCUUAGUAACAGGGUCUGCCCCGCAGGGUCAGAAGACACAUGUCAAAUAGACACUAACAGGAAAGAUUUUCUGGGUGUGGGUCUGCGAUACCAGUACCAAAACCUCCCAUCACCAGAAAUGGAGGACAACCUCAUUCAAUUAGGAAGCACAGAUAAAAGACCGUUUCAGUUACAGGUGAGAGCACAUAUUGGCUGUUUGACAUAAAUUUAAUAAUUCUCUAGAAAAGUAGUAAGGCCUUGCCAGCUACACCUAAGCUGUACUGAUUUAUUAGCCAGUGUUGUGCUGCUGGGUGUGAGUUGGGGUGUUGUGGCUUCUUGGGUACUUGGGCUUCUCACAUUUUUUGUGAUCAGCAAUCUGAAGUGCCUUGCCCCUGUCCAUUAUCAGCCAUACAAAGUACCUGAGAUUGCCUGUCUGAAUUGGAUUUAUGUUAUUUAUAAAAGGUAGAGAGGGAGGUAGCUUGCUAACUUGUUUUUCCUGCUAACUGGAUCUUCAUCACAAGUGGCUGUGUAAGUUCUCAAGAGCUUAUCAUUCGUGUCUUGUCUUCCUACAUGUAACUGAUGCAUCUAAUAAAAAUCAAGUGCCAAAAUCUGGCUAAUUACUGAUUGGAUUGCUCCAUGCAUCUACUCUAACAGAUGUAUCGCCCUCUUUGAGCAGUUGUUCAAGAGGUUAACGGAGAAUUCCUGACCUUUCGAAUGGGAAUUUUGCCAAUAGCAUCAACUGGCAUAAGACUAUUGAUGGUCUGAGGCAAAGCUUAGAAGAUAAUUGUUGUGUUUAACUGUUAAUUCUAUAGUAUUAUCCUGGUAACUUGUUGAUGCAUCUAAGAGUUGCUUGAUGUUUAUCUACACACACCUGCACUUGUGCACAGACUUGCCUUUGGGAAUUCACAUGCUCCUGCUAAUAUGUAUGCAAAAGAUUCACUGGGCUUUUUUAUUUGUAAACAGAAAAUGUUUUGACUUAUGUCCUGAUAAAGGGAGCUGUUACAAAUGCAACAUGAAACUGCAUUGAUGUAUCAGAAGCUGACCAGGUCAUCCUUGCACACUUACAGCCAUGAUUUGAGAUGCUGAAGAUGUGGAUGCCAAAGGAAAAAAACACAUUGCACAUUGUUAACCCCCCACUACGGGGAUAGUUCACCCAUUUGCAGAACUGUACACAGACCAUGACAUCCUUCCCUCAGUGGGAUUUGUAUGAUAUGAGAAUUACUACCUGCCACUCUGCGCCUCAUGCUGGGAGACAGGUCUGUGGAGCGAUGGAGCCUGGCUGUCUGCAGGCAGGACUGCUGUGCCACAUCCAAAGCAAGCUUGCCAGUCAGCAAACGCUGCAUUAAUCUUUUGGGGAGUGUUUGUUUUGCUUGUUGUGCUAGGCUCAGUUUCAAGCAACUGAUAAUGUGUUCAUGAGCAGUUCUCCUGUUGCAGUCCAUUUUUCAAAAUAAGAGUGAAGAUGGAUGCUCCUAAGGUUGGGUGAGAUGUGGGUGUGAAGGGUUGUAUAUGAUCUUGCUUCCAUGUGUGAGCUUAUGGUGCUUUUGAGUGCAUGUUACCUAUGCAAGUACAUUUGGGACAGUGGAGUAAUGACUCUUUGAAGUCAGAUGAAUGUUUUUAAAAAUAUGCCUUGGACAUGGUCCUUCUCUGAUGCUAGUUCUGCUAGUGGAGUUACCUCACUGCAUACCAGAUAUAUGUUUGUUUGCUUAGUAAUAGUCAAACCUUCAAACUGCUGAAGGGUAAACUCAGCAGGCUUCUGAGGAUUAGGUAGGAUAAUGCUUUAUUGCUUACAGUUUAAGUAUUGAAAUGUCUAGAAUUUUGGGAGGUAAACAAUGGUGUGUCUGGCCUAUUCCUACGUUUACCGAUAGUGUCGCUGCUCAGUCCAGCUGUACCACUGUAGUUAGUUCUCACAGGCACCUAAAGCCACAUCCUUCAAAGUUUCUGUGUGCACUUAAUUCCUCCAGGCAAAAAGGAAUUUAUAUACUGAAAUAACUUCUAGGAUGUGAAAAAAUCAGGUGUGAUUCUGGAGCCUCCCAAGUGUGUGUAGGACCUCUAAAUAGGAGGCUUUUAAAGAUCUUUGUUGUUUUUAAAACAGUGCUAUUUGUUGACUUGCAAAAGAAAAUAUAGUAACAUUUCUCCGCGUCAAGAGAAUUUCACUAUUGGGGUGAGAACAGGAGGGCACACUCUGCUCCCAGGUUGUGCUUACAUAGUCUAAAAGAAUGUGUCUGGGCGGUCAGUCUGCUACAAAAUGUUGAUCUUUAGGCUGUUGGGGUAACACAAAUCCAGUGGAUGUUUCAUGUGCAAAUACUUCCCUGGAAACUGUUGCUGAGAAGAAAUCUUUUGCUUAAAAUCUAUUCUGCCAAGAGUACUCCAAAGAUAGUAUUACAAACAGCAGUAUUUUUUAAUGAAAAUAUGUACCCUCUGCUUAAAUGUAACUUAUGUUUCUACUCUAAAAGUCAAAUCGCCUGGGAAGGACCCAAGCCUCGUGCAGACCUGCCACGCAGCAGGUAUGCUGGCAAAACGGGGAAAGCUGUCGCUCCUCCUUGCCUGCUGCAGACACAAACACUGUGAGAAUCCCCUUGAUACAGGGAAGUGUUGUUGUAUUAGACACAACAAUUAUUAGUGUGGCAACAGGAUAGUUCCUCCAGGCCCAGAUAAACGUUGCAACACCUCCCCUCCCCAAAGAUACUGCUUUAAUUGGAUCUAGGAGAUGAGGUUUAGCAUCUUGUAUUUUGCUGUGUACUUCUUUGUGAAAAGUAAUGCAAAUCCUUGUUAUCAGUCUUCGGUUGUAGCAGUGUAUCAUAGGGCUGGGGUUAGUAGAAGGAUGGUCAUGAUUGGUUACACUACAGACUGCUGAUAAAUAAUAAUCUGAACGCUCUUGGUGACAGAAGGUCCCCAACAUGGAUGGAUCACAGUGUGGGAUAUGUUGUAUCAGAUAUGAGUUCAACUAUGUGAUGCAAUUCCUACAAAAUAUAUGCACAACUUCUCUUGUAAAACUUAUCCUCAUAAUUUUUCUGAGCAACCUUCAAUUCUUUUGCGUGUAUUCUAGAAAAAAACAAAACCACAACACCAAAACCAGAAGUUCCUUGGAAAAACAAAAGAUUUUUAUGUUCUGCAGUUUCUGCAGUGAGACUAUGCAGACUUCAGGCUGGUUACUAAGAAGAGCCCCAUAUAUAUCUGAGGGUGAAAAAAUAAUCGUGUCACUUCUUUGGAACAUGAUCUAAAGUUCACUGAAGUGGAUGAAAAGGCUCCUGUUGGUUUUAAGUGGAUCCAGCCUUUACAUGGUGAACAGAAGACAUGUGUCUCAUCUGCUUAAAUGUGAAAAUGUUAUUGGUAAUUUAUGUUGAUAGAAAGAGCACAUGGUAACUUUCUUCCUGCAUUUAUGUAACAGGAGGCAAAGGCUUCAAAUGUGCAGUUAAAAAACAUCACGGAUGCAGUUGCCUACUUACCAGCAUGAUGAGAGUGACAUGACUGAGGAUCAGGCAGUUUUAAGAAUAUUUGGUGAAGACUAAACAUUAGGCAUGGGUUUUCUCUUCACCAUCUUACCCAAAGAUGACAGCUUGCUGUUCCUGGUGAGCAUUACCGUCUUCAGGCUUGCAGAAGGGGAGGUGGUUCUUACUGAGUCACCUACGUUGAUGUUUUCUGAUUUUGAUUCACGUGGUGCUUAAUCAAGGAUGGGCCAGGCAGGAUGUUGUGGUCUGCAGAGGUGACAGUCUCCCAGUACCGCUCAACAAUGGAGCAAAGGAGUACGUUGUCUACACCAGCUAACAGUCCAUAACAACUAUUGUGACCCAUGGUGUGAUGAAUGACGUUACUUUGGGCUGGAAUUAAUAGAGUACUAAGAGAAGAUAAAACCAGCAAAUUACACUUAAGAUGAUUUGCGAUGGAUCUUGUAUUUUUAAGAUAUCCCUGUGUCAGUGUGCAAAGGGAUCUCUUCUACAGCCUUGUUUAACAUCAACAUUUUGGAGAGGAGAUCUUUCAGGAUUCAUUUGAAUUCAUUUUGUCUGAUAGUCAAGAACCUCUCCUGAUCUUUUUUCAAAUAUAUAUAAAACACAGAUAUGUAUUUAAGAUAACAGAACAUUCAAAAGACUUGAAGGCCAUGCAGAAAGAUGUUACGUAGCAGGAAAUAGUGCAGGAAUAAGAUGGCUGGAGCCACUCCUCAGAAAUAAAAAUAACAUGAUGCUUCAUACAUCCAGUUACUGUUGUACAUUGGUUAAAAUCAGCGGAGUUGCUCUGGAUUUUUAGCAGCAUUGAAAGAAGUGAGAGCAAAAGGAAAAAGAUAAAAUGGGUUGGUUUUUUUUUUCCUUCUUAAUGUGUGCUGAUUCAGUUUGUUUCUUUGGAACACCUAAAUACAGAAAAUUAAUAUAAACAUCAAGACACUGCAAAGAACAACAUUUAAAGAUAACUUUUUUGUGAAUUGAUGAGCUGAGCUGAUAGCAGCGGAGUGGGAUCAGUUAGUGGUCAGAUACCACAUGAUGGAUCUCAGUGUUUUUUAGCAGGCGUUAAGACUGAUUCCACGUGUUACACAAACCAGAGGAAGCCUGGGACUAAACAACUUGUUGUCAAAGAAACUUGCACCAUCACAAGGGAAAAAAUCUAACAUCUACUUUUCCCUUUUAUGAAUUUUUACCGUGUGGGGAAGCUAAUUUUAACAGCAUAAAAACCAGUGAAACAGAAAAAAGUCUACCAUUUCUGAACUAACGUCUUUCAGGUAAACUCAGCAUCUGCCAUCAUUUGCAAUCAUUAUUGCAAUUUUUUAAAAAUUUCUGUUUUUGGAAACAGAUGUUGGGAGAGGCAUAAGAACAAAUGAUGCUUGUUGCAACCUAAAUUUUCACGUUAAAGUACACCAAAUGAGCGCAAAAGUGAAAAUUUAGGUCUGGGCAGAAGUCUGGCAUCACCUUCUCAAUCCCACUUCAGACCAUUUUAAAGAGAGUUGAACAUCCUGUAGCCUCAGUGCAGAGGACAGCAUACCCAGCAGUGCAUGUACUUGAGACCUUCUCUAUGAUCCUUGCAAAAAGAGGCCAAAUUCAUCAUUUUCUUGGCCUUUCAAUGACAUUUGUCCUGUGUGGACACCAGUGCUUUCCAGCAAUGUAAGCAAUUUUUCUUUUUGAUAAUGGACAGGCUAUAUAUUUCAAAGACCUGCACGAGCUUCUGUGAGCAUGUUCACCAUUACAAAUGGUGACAGUUUUGCUCACUGCUGACUCCGUAGAUUUGCAGUUUCUGUGCCAAACCAGUCAAGCCCCACAUCUUGCAUUGAAAAUGGUGAGCUGUACAUGAUGCUGUUGUUUCUCUUCACUGCCAGCUCUUAGACGUAUCUGGCAGGGAUGUUCACUUAAUGAAGUGUUUUCUACCUUAGUGAGAUCUUUUCAUGACAUUGCUUGAAAAAUCCAGGUUUGCCAAUUCGUUUGUGUAAGAAGCUGUGAAGCUUGUUCCACACAUUCAUUACCCAACUUCUUCGUGUAGUUUUGAAAUGUUCUUGCAUUGUACUGUUUGGUAAGCAAGUCCAUGCCAAAGUCAGAGCAUAGAGCUUGUUCAAGAUACUUCCAUUCCUUGAAAGUAGCCAUACAAACACUUUCUACCCAAAUGCAAAUUAUUAGUCAAGUUUAUUCCAUCUGGGGUUUGUAUGUGUGCAUGUAUUCUUGGCUAAGUGUUUUAGCAAGUACUAAAAUUCCAGGUAUGUUAAAGGGAUCAGGAAAAUUCAUGCCAGUAUUAAAUGAAUAUUUGUGGAGAGUGAAUUUUAAGUAUGCUGUGGAAAGUCUGUAAUGCUUAAUGCUGUAUUCUUCUGCUAAAUGGUUAAAUUCUGCCCUAAUACCGAUUUUGCCAGGACAGUAGGAAUGUAGAAAAUACAUGAGAGUAUACUUGUAGUGAUGAACAUAUAACCAUAUGAGAGGAUUAUUUGGGAAAUUAUAAUAGGCAAUUGAAGUCUUGGAGAUGUUCAAGAGACUUCGUUGCUUCCAAUAGCAGAUUGUUUAUGGGGAGAAAUAAAGCUAAACCCAUUCACUUUUUUUCAAGUAGCUCUAGUAACUUGUAAGAUUUGUGUCAGGCUCUGAGUAGAAAAUGAUCACCACUUAUAUUCCAAAGAAUAAUAAUAAAAGCUUGGUAAGAGAAAAGCAAUACUGAGGCUUUUUUAGUGAGCUCAGUAGCUUUAAUUUUUAUGUGGGUUUUUUUGAAGAUUUUGUUAAAACUCUGAGCUCUUCCGUUGAAGUAUUGCAGUUAAUCUGCAGUGGUUUUUUGCUUGGUCUUGCUCUUGUCUUUCUCAAUCUCACAUUUUAGCUGUGUGCCGCUGGCUAUUAACCCUGUGAAUUUCUUUUGGAUGUGAGAAAGCUUGUUUCCAGUAAUCCAUAAACCUCCAAAACCACCACAAAGCGGUAAGACCCCACUCACCUCCCGCUUUUAACAUUAAAGAGAAAAGCCUCUUUGUGCUCUUGUGUUGCUGAGAAGUCACAGCUGCUUCAGUCCUGACUUAACAGCCUUGGACAGAAGCUGGUAGCCUGUUGCUUGUUUUUGGGGUGUGGGUUUUGUGAGUUUUGAUUAUGAUGUUUGGUUUGGUUUUUUGUUGUAUUUUUGGGGUUUGUUUGUUUGUUUUUUUGUUUUUCUUUCAAACCAGGAGGCAGGAAUUCCUCCUGAGGAGAUGGGAUAGUCUGUGGUUUUUUAAGGGCCCCAAGCUAUCCUCAUUAUCUGAUAUAGGAUGGCAGUACGGGGAUGUUGAGGCAUAAAACCUUUCUGGGGCAGGCAGAUUAAGAAAUCUUUUCAUUCUCACUGAAGUUAAAGGUCAAGGCAGAUGAACUACAGAGCAUGUUAUCUCCUUGCAGUUUUACUCAAUGUGUUUUCUCAGCAGUAUGGUGGGAAGAAAUAUUAAACUUCUUCUUCUCACUGCUUUGGUUCAUAGUGGCAGGUCAAAAAUGUUAUGGCUCACCCAGUAGUUUGAAUAAUUUCCUCAAGUUUUAGUCUUGCAAGUUGGACUCUGUAUCCUUUGAAGUACAGGCUUUUCAUCAGAGGACUGGCAAUGGUUACUUGUGCCAGUUAGACUCCAGGCAGUCCUGCUGAGCUUGAAAUAGGGACUUGCACAGCUUUUGGAUUUGCCGAGAUGCAUUUCAGGCUUUUAAAUCUGCAGGGCAGAACCUGGAGGGAGAAAGAUUCCUCCUAUUCCGAAAGCCCAGGCACACUUGGUUGGCAUCAGGGGGGCCUCAUCCAGCCCAGCCAGUAGGACCAUGUGGUCGGAUCCUCGUAGGGUCCCUCUGGCUGCAGCAAAAUGAGUCCUGCUUCAUGCUCGUGUAAGGAUCUGAAAUUGUUUUCUAACGAAGAAACCUCCUCUGCUGUGGUUCAUUGAUCUGCAUGGACUUGCCAUGGUGGAAGGAGAUUUGUUUGCAGGCUUUUAAAACCCACAGCUGAAUUUGGGUUCUUCCUCUAAAAUUGUCCUUCACUGAUUACUACGCAGACUUUCAAAAUUAGACAAUUUGCUGUGGGAUUUGGGGGAAAAGUGGAGCCUAUAUUUUAUCUAUAACUGUGUAAUGGUGUCUGAUAAUUCCUAUUUUUUUAAAAAACUUUUUUAAGAGAGAAACUUCUGAUUUUGUGAGGAGGAAUCCUAGCAGGGCAGAAGGAAGGAGAUGGAGGGGAGCAGAGAUUAGGGAAGACCGUGGCAUAAGCUUUCCCUUCUGUUACCUGCAGGCACAUUUAAACCAGCGGUUACUGUAUUAGAGUUGUGGGUUUUUUUAACAUCUAAGUUAUAUGCAUAAAAGUAUGAUAAACUUAUUCCAUCAAUUUAACCAGGUGUUUAGAAACAGCACUAUGUACUUCUCAAAGCUAGACAUGACUGGAGCUUUUCUCUUGCCAUCUCAGCUGGGUGACAACCCGUGUGGUCAGGAGACGUGGUUCAGCACAGCCACUCCUCCUCCUACGGGCAAGGACUCCCAGGCUUUGAUGGUGUAUGAUCUUAAGGUUUUUGCCCUCUCCACACCCUCCUGUGGAUGCCAGUCAUGAAGCCAGGUCCUUUGCCCACCUCCAUCUGGCAGAGUAAAGCUGAGGGAUGAAGUCCCCCCAUGGUAGGCAUUGGUGAAACACCAGUGGGACUGAUGGUGCUACACCCAGAGUCCAGAGCAAUAUUUUAAGUGGGAACAGCCAACAUGAUCAAUUGAGAAAGUGGGCAAUGCUGGACCUCAGUUCUUCCCUUCCUCCCCUCAUAUUUAUAGGUUUCUAAUUUCCGCUGGAUAAUGAAUAUCACUCUUCAUUAUAAUUAUGUUAAAAGGUACCAGCAUGAUGAUUCAGAAACCCUUGAAGAUAUAGUCAUAUUUUCAGCAACAGAUGGAUUUAACACUGCAGAUGGAAUGUUAAGAGUGCAGGUAAUAACAAACUCAGCAAUGUACUGUACUGAAAUAUAAUUGGAAAGUAUUAAUCAUAUAUUGGUUACUUCAGUUUCACUAAGUAGAUGUUUAAUUUUCAUCAAUCUUUUUACCAGAUUCCCGGAAAGAUUUCUGUGUAGACGGAGUGUGGCUUCUAGGUGAAACGAUUGCUGAAGAUAUUAAUGACCAAGGCCUUGAUCUUGCAAGCAUGUGCCCAUGGCUUACCCAGGCAUGAAGAAUAAAAAUCAUUUGUGUUAAUAAGGCUGUCAGAUGGGGCCCCAUUCAUAUGGCCCAAGUUUCAGCUGAUGACUAGUCAGUAGUAAAACCGAGACCCCUCUCAGCUUGGGGGCUGCUGGAAACCCACCAGCAGGAAUGACUGACUGCAAGAUUUGGGGCAGAACACAGGCAGUUUGAAAAGUCAUUUAUAGAGGUGUGAACCAUGAGUCUAAGCCUUUGCAGGACUGGGGGUCAACAUGUAGACGGAACUGGGAAAAGCUGGGCUUUUUUGCAGUUCCUCGUUAUUUUCUCCAUGUACAGAUCUUUUGAAAUUACCUGCUUAGAGGGAAACGUCUGCUGCUCUUUUCAUAAACCCUGUCAUUUUACUGUUUUGUUUUGUUUUCGUGUGCUUCUGCCUAGAGGUUUAAAGCCUGGGUAAUUCAGGGGAGUUUUGCUCUGAGCAGGCCAUGCAGGACCAGAGUAAGCUGUGAUACCUGGUUGUGUACCAUGACUCUCAUUCUUUUUAAUGCUAUUUAUAACAGGGAUUUGAUUAGUUAGUAUCACAAAGUGGUCCAUGCUCCAGUGUGCCACCUGGGACACGGGGAGUGCUGUAGGGCAACAAUUCCAUCGCUCACAGUCAAAAUCUUCAUCUGUUUUACGGCAGGAAUAUAAAAUGUGAUUUUUGGUGAAAAUGGAAACGUUUUUCUUUUGAGUAUGUUUCUGUGGAUGCUUUGUGUUCACCUUCUUCUCCAUGGGUUCGGGUAUCUGGUGAAGCUGCAUCUCCAUUGAUUUCCUUAGGAGCUUCCUUUUCCCUGGUGGGAUUGCAUCUCCAUGGUGUGUCAUGAUGACUAUGGACCGAUCAGGCUUGUAAAUGACAACAUAAGCAUUCAAUACCUACAUUUGAAAGUCCCUGCAAUAGUUUGGCUGAAUUCUUUGGUCUUUUGCUGAACUAUGUACAUUUCUAGCUAACUGUGGACCCUGAAAAUAUAAUGAAAAACUGGAAUUCUCUCUGGAAAGUUUACUCUCACUUGAUGGCACUAUAUAUUGGCUGUUGGGGACCAAAAAAAAAAAAAAAAAAAAUCAGUGAAUAAAACACAAUGUGACUGGAAAUAAAAUUGAGCAUGACUGGAAACCACAGGUGAAUAUGCUUAAUAAUGCAAAAUUAGUGUACUGUCUACUUUCUGACAGAUGUUUGUACCCCAGAGAGAUACAAAUAGGUACUGAUCAAUUGACAGUGAUAAUCAAAUAAGGAUCUGUGUUUAUAGGUGACUAAAAGUAUGGUGUCUCUUUCAGGGUACCAGUCAGGGUGAAUUGUUUUUAACAUGGGUUUCUCCAUUGCUGUUGUGGGAAGUGGGUAGCUUGUUUCUAGAAUGUGAAGACAAGUAGCAUUUUUGCUUAAUUUUCACUUACCAUUGGAAAUAAUCUCUCCGUUCCUAUUCUAUCCAGAUUAUGUGGGUGAGCAGCAAGCCCCCAGGGCUGCAGCAGGGAUUGCACAUACUGGUAGGACAGACUUCUCAUCUUUCUGGCAUUAUUUUAACCUUCCUUCUCUCUGUCUUUUUUUUUUUUUCUCCUUAUUUAUGAAAAUUAAUCGAAUCAAAAGUAAUUUAAAUUGUCAGGUGUCUCAGUUUUGAUUUAAAUUGUAUGUUUUAAACUUGUUCUGCAUUUGUAGCACAUAGUUAUGUUGUUCGGGUGAAUUUCAGUCUUGCUGUUCACCGGCAGAACAGGGCAUUUGCUACUUUAUUGUGAGGAACAGGCGGGUAAUGCAUUGAACAUACACAUAAUAGUGUAACUUAAUACAUGUUAAGCUAAGUCUGUAGAGAAGAUCCUAGGAGACAGUAGAUCCCCUUUAAUAAAUCACCUCAUGCUUCACUCUAAAAGGCUGAAACUCCAGCUCAACCGAAGAGGGAUUGAGCAAGGGAUUGUAACUGAAAUCACUGGGACCUGUGAAAGCUGCUGAGCCUCUGUUGUCUCCCUGUUGACAUUGAGACUUCUGUCUGUCCCUCUUUGCCAUUAAUUGUCUCAGGAUGUCCUGCUUGUUCAUUUGUGAUUUGUAACAAAGUGCUUUUGGAUAAAAAAUGUGAUUCAAGCAAAAUCACAAACCACUAGCUUUAUGAAAGCAUUUUAUUUACUAAUUCAAGCUGUGUGAAAUUUGCUAGAUAUAUCACAAAAUAAAGGUAAAUAUGUUUAUUUUAGAACUCGAUAAAUUACUGACAAAGGAAAAAUGCCCUGAGUUAAUCAAUCUGAUGGGUUUGUCACCAUUUGUCCCCAGGGGAUUUAGAAGUAGUGGAUCAUGCUUUAAUGCUGCUCUGCUCUCGUUGUUAGGAAGAGAAAAAACAAACAUUCCUGUGUCUCAGCUCCUCAUCAGUGUCUGAACUUGAACGAAUCAGCUGUUGAGCUGAAGGAAAUGAAAUAUAGAUUGACAUGAAGAAAAUGUUGUCUCUGCAGCUGCAGAAGUAGCUAUAGUUGUCAAAAGCUGAUUUUUGUCCCUUCAAAGACCUGUAUUUUUUUUUUGUCACAUCGUCUCAUUCAAUAGCUGGACUUUCUAUAAAAGGUUGGCCUAAAGUUACUGCUUUAAUUUUUUUUUUUAAUUAUUAAUG